UUCCGGUUGAUCCUGCCGGACCACACUGCUAUCGGGAUGGGACUAAGACAUGCUAGUCGUGCGUCUCCAAGCUAUGAUGGAGAAGCGGCAUACAGCUCAGUAACACGUGGCUAACCUACCCUUAGGAUAGAAACACCUCCGGGAAACUGGAGUUAAUUUCUAAUAGGUGAUGAAUACUGGAAUGUGACAUCACUCAAAGGGCAUUUAAAUCAUGCUUUUAGAUACUGCCUAAGGAUGGGGCCGCGACCGAUCAGGUUGUUGGUGAGGUAAAGGCUCACCAAGCCUUUAACCGGUACGGGCCGUGAGAGCGGGAGCCCGGAGAUGGGCACUGAGAUAAGGGCCCAGGCCCUACGGGGCGCAGCAGUCGCGAAACCUUCGCAAUACGCGCAAGCGUGACAGAGGUCAUCCCGAGUGCCGUCCGCUGAGGAUGGCUUUUGCCCAGUGUAAAUAGCUGGGAGAAUAAGGAGAGGGCAAGCCUGGUGUCAGCCGCCGCGGUAAUACCAGCUCUCCGAGUGGUGUGGAUACUUAUUGGGCCUAAAGCAUUCGUAGCCGGCUAGACAAGUCUCUCGUUAAAUCCAGCGUUUCAAUCGUUGGGCUGCGAGAGAUACUUUUUAGCUAGGGGACGGGAGCGGUCGACGGUAUUUCCGGGGUAGGGGUGAAAUCCUAUAAUCCCGGGAGGACCACCAGUGGCGAAGGCUGUUGACUAGAACGUGCCCGACGGUGAGGGAUGAAAGCUGGGGGGAGCGAACCGGAUUAGAUACCCGGGUAGUCCCAGCCGUAAACAAUGCAGGCUAGUGUUAGAGCGGCUACGAGCCGCCCUAGUGCCGCAGGGAAGCCGUUAAGCCUGCCGCCUGGGGAGAACGGCCGCAAGGCUGAAACUUAAAGGAAUUGGCGGGGGAGCACACAAGGGGUGAAGCUUGCGGUUUAAUUGGAGUCAACGCCGGAA
rnacentral:rRNA from 1 species